rnacentral:rRNA from 1 species
AUUGAACGCUGGCGGCAGGCCUAACACAUGCAAGUCGAGCGGAUGCAGGGAGCUUGCUCUUGGAUUGAGCGGCGGACGGGUGAGUAAUGUCUAGGAAUCUGCCUAGUAGCGGGGGAUAACUUCCGGAAACGGUCGCUAAUACCGCAUACGCCCUGCGGGGGAAAGUGGGGGAUCUUCGGACCUCACGCUAUCAGAUCAGCCUAUGUCGGAUUAGCUAGUUGGUGGGGUAACGGCCUACCAAGGCGACGAUCCGUAACUGGUUUGAGAGGAUGACCAGUCAAACUGGAAUUGAGAAACGGCCCAGAUCCCAACGGGAGGCAGCGGUGGGGAAUAUUGGAAAAGGGGCGAAAGCCUGAUCCAGCAACGCGGGGGGUGUGAAGAAGGUCUUCGGAUGGUAAAGAACUUUAAGAGGGGAGGAAGGUCAGGAAGUUAAUACCUGGCGGAUUGGACGUAACUGACAGAAAAAGCACGGGCUAAUAUCGG